CUGCUCAAUGAAUUAAUCAAUUAGAUAGCUGCAGUAUUAAUAACUGUACAAAGGUAGCAUAAUAAUUAGUUUUUUAAUUAAAAUCUAGAAUGAAUGAUUAAAUGAAAUAUAGACUAUAUCAAAUUUAAUAAAUAAAUUUUUUAUUUAAAUUAAAAAAUUUAAAUAAAUUUUAAAGACGAGAAGACCCUAAGAAUUUUUAUAAUUUAAUUAUUAUUUUAAUUAUAAUUAAAUUAUUUUAAUUGGGGAAAUUUAAAAAUUUAAUAAAUUUUUUAUUAAAAAAACAUUUAUUUUUGAAUAAAUAUUAAUUUUUUAAGAAAAUAAAUUAAAUUACCUUAGGGAUAACAGCAUAAUUUUUUUAAUAAGUUCACAUUUAUAAAAAAGUUUAUGACCUCGAUGUUGAAUUAAGAUUAAUUUAAUAGAGAAUAUUAAUUUUAAGUCUGUUCGACU
rnacentral:rRNA from 1 species